rnacentral:rRNA from 1 species
CAAUAGCGUAUAUUAAAGUUGUUGCAGUUAAAAAGCUCGUAGUUGGAUUUGUGGUUCGUCCCGCCGGCUGGGUCAUUGACUUUUGCUGUGCUGGUCGUCCAUCCUUGGGUGGAAUCUGUGUGGCAUUAGGUUGUCGCGCAGGGGAUGCCCAUCGUUUACUGUGAAAAAAUUAGAGUGUUCAAAGCAGGCUUAUGCCGUUGAAUAUAUUAGCAUGGAAUAAUGAUAUAGGACCUUGGUACUAUUUUGUUGGUUUGCGCAUCGAGGUAAUGAUUAAUAGGGACAGUUGGGGGUAUUCGUAUUCCAUUGUAAGAGGUGAAAUUCUUGGAUUUUUGGAAGACGAACUACUGCGAAAGCAUUUACCAAGGAUGUUUUCAUUA